UACGUAGGGGGCAAGCGUUGUCCGGAUUUAUUGGGCGUAAAGAGCGUGUAGGCGGCCGCACAGGUCCGUUGUGAAAACUGGAGGCUUAACCUCCAGACGUCGAUGGAAACCGUGCGGCUAGAGUCCGGAAGAGGAGAAUGGAAUUCCUGGUGUAGCGGUGAAAUGCGCAGAUAUCAGGAAGAACACCCGUGGCUAAGGCGGUUCUCUGGGACGGUACUGACGCUGAGACGCGAAAGCGUGGGGAGCGAACAGG
rnacentral:rRNA from 1 species